GACGAACGCUGGCGGCGUGCCUAAUACAUGCAAGUCGAGCGAAUGACGAGAAGCUUGCUUCUCUGAUUUAGCGGCGGACGGGUGAGUAACACGUGGGCAACCUGCCCUACAGAUUGGAAUAACUCAGGGAAACCUGGGCCAAUACCGGAUAAUCCUUCGAAUCACAUGUUUUGAAGUUGAAAGGCGCUUCGGCGUCACUGUAGGAUGGGCCCGCGGUGCAUUAGCUAGUUGGUGGGGUAACGGCCUACCAAGGCAACGAUGCAUAGCCGACCCGAGAGGGUGAUCGGCCACAUUGGGACUGAGACACGGCCCAAACUCCUACGGGAGGCAGCAGUAGGGAAUCUUCCACAAUGGACGAAAGUCUGAUGGAGCAACGCCGCGUGAGUGAUGAAGGUUUUCGGAUCGUAAAACUCUGUUGUAAGGGAAGAACAAGUACGUUAGGAAAUGAACGUACCUUGACGGUACCUUAUUAGAAAGCCACGGCUAACUACGUGCCAGCAGCCGCGGUAA
rnacentral:rRNA from 1 species